GACAGAGGAUGCAAGCGUUAUCCGGAAUUAUUGGGCGUAAAGGGUGCGUAGGCGGUCUGACAAGUCUGAUGUGAAAUCUAUGGGCUCAAACCCAUAGUCUGCAUCGGAAACUGUCGGCUUGAGUAUGGAGAGGUGAGUGGAAUUCCGGUGGAGCGGUGAAUGCGUAGAGAUCGGAAGACACCAACGGCGAAGCACUCUGCUGGCCGACACUGACACUGAGAGACGAAGCUAGGAGCGAAUGG
rnacentral:rRNA from 1 species